ACAAUUGUGGUUGAUUUGGUGUGCUGAUGUGCCAUUCAGGUGAUUUCAUCAACGAAUAGCCGUAGCGAAAAGGUGCAAAAAACGAUGAAAUACAAUUGUGGUUGAUUUGGUGUGCUGAUGUGCCAUUCAGGUGAUUUCAUCAACGAAUAGCCGUAGCGAAAAGGUGCAAAAAACGAUGAAAUACAAUUGUGGUUGAUUUGGUGUGCUGAUGUGCCAUUCAGGUGAUUUCAUCAACGAAUAGCCGUAGCGAAAAGGUGCAAAAAACGAUGUUGGCCACAUGCGUACGGAUAAAUCUUUUCCACCAUACGACUUGAUUCAAAGUGACCAAGAAUUUCAUCAAUGUUUUCGGCAUAGA